AAAAUAAACAUGUGCCUUAGUAGAGAACAGGUGGCCUGGGUGGAGACUAUAGUAGAGAACAGGUGGCCUGGGUGGAGACUAUAGUAGAGAACAGCCGGCCUGGGUGGAGACGAUAGUAGAGAACAGGUGGCCUGGGUGGAGACUAUAGUAGAGAACAGGCGGCCUGGGUGGAGACUAUAGUAGAGAACAGGUGGCCUGGGUGGAGACGAUAGUAGAGAACAGGCGGCCUGGGUGGAGACUAUAGUAGAGAACAGGCGGCCUGGGUGGAGACUAUAGUAGAGAACAGGUUGCCUGGGUGGAGACUAUAGUAGAGAACAGGUGGCCUGGGUGGAGACGAUAGUAGAGAACAGGUUGCCUGGGUGGAGACUAUAGUAGAGAACAGGUGGCCUGGGUGGAGACUAUAGUAGAGAACAGGCGGCCUGGGUGGAGACUAUAGUAGAGAACAGGUUGCCUGGGUGGAGACUAUAGUAGAGAACAGGUGGCCUGGGUGGAGACGAUAGUAGAGAACAGGUGGCCUGGGUGGAGACUAUAGUAGAGAACAGGUAGCCUGGGUGGAGACUAUAGUAGAGAACAGGCGGCCUGGGUGGAGACUAUAGUAGAGAACAGGCGGCCUGGGUGGAGACUAUAGUAGAGAACAGGCGGCCUGGGUGGAGACUAUAGUAGAGAACAGGCGGCCUGGGUGGAGACUAUAGUAGAGAACAGGUGGCCUGGGUGGAGACGAUAGUAGAGAACAGGUGGCCUGGGUGGAGACUAUAGUAGAGAACAGGUUGCCUGGGUGGAGACUAUAGUAGAGAACAGGUGGCCUGGGUGGAGACGAUAGUAGAGAACAGGUUGCCUGGGUGGAGACUAUAGUAGAGAACAGGUGGCCUGGGUGGAGACUAUAGUAGAGAACAGGCGGCCUGGGUGGAGACUAUAGUAGAGAACAGGUUGCCUGGGUGGAGACUAUAGUAGAGAACAGGUGGCCUGGGUGGAGACGAUAGUAGAGAACAGGUGGCCUGGGUGGAGACUAUAGUAGAGAACAGGUAGCCUGGGUGGAGACUAUAGUAGAGAACAGGUGGCCUGGGUGGAGACUAUAGUAGAGAACAGGUGGCCUGGGUGGAGACUAUAGUAGAGAACAGGCGGCCUGGGUGGAGACUAUAGUAGAGAACAGGUGGCCUGGGUGGAGACUAUAGUAGAGAACAGGCGGCCUGGGUGGAGACUAUAGUAGAGAACAGGUGGCCUGGGUGGAGACUAUAGUAGAGAACAGGCGGCCUGGGUGGAGACUAUAGUAGAGAACAGGCGGCCUGGGUGGAGACUAUAGUAGAGAACAGGUGGCCUGGGUGGAGACGAUAGUAGAGAACAGGUGGCCUGGGUGGAGACUAUAGUAGAGAACAGGUGGCCUGGGUGGAGACUAUAGUAGAGAACAGGUAGCCUGGGUGGAGACUAUAGUAGAGAACAGGUAGCCUGGGUGGAGACGAUAGUCCUGAGCUAACCAGCUAACUCAGGUCUGGUGCUGCUACCCAGGUCUGGUGCUGCUAACCAGCUAGCCCAGGUCUGGUGCUGCUAACCCGCUAGCCCAGGUCUGGUGCUGCUAACCAGCUAACCCAGGUCUGGUGCUGCUAACCAGCUAACCCCGGUCUGGUGCUGCUAACCAGCUAACCCAGGACUGGUGCUGCUAGCCAGCUAACCCCGAUCUGGUGCUGCUAACCAGCUAACCCAGGUCUGGUGCUGCUAACCAGCCAACCCAGGUCUGGUGCUGCUACCCAGGUCUGGUGCUGCUAACCAGCUAACCCAGGUCUGGUGCUGCUAACCAGCUAACCCAGGUCUGGUGCUGCUAACCAGCUAACCCAGGUCUGGUGCUGCUAACCAGCUAACCCAGGUCUGGUGCUGCUAACCAGCUAACCCAGGUCUGGUGCUGCUAACCAGCUAACCCAGGUCUGGUGCUGCUAACCAGCUAACCCAGGUCUGGUGCUGCUACCCAGGUCUGGUGCUGCUAACCAGCUAACCCAGGUCUGGUGCUGCUAACCAGGUCUGGUGCUGCUAACCAGCUAACCCAGGUCUGGAUAAGGAAUGGCCCACUGGAAUCUCAAUUAGAAGAAUGUUUUGAAAGGAUCGGGUCCUGAUUUAAGAGCUAGACGGUGUCAAACUUCAGUCCUUUGUGGCUCAGUUGAUCCGGGCACCUGCAACGUCAAGACGGUGAA